UCCAUUUACAAUACUUGAAAGUCUAGAUUAUAACAAAAUCAUCUUUUACAACUUAUGCUACUGCCUGAAUAUGCUCAAAGAUACUCCUCAUUCUAACUUCUGAUUCCUUUUUUUGUCCUCAAGUCUCCUCUUACAACGUGUGUAUUUGCGAGAGAACAGCUAUGGAACUGUCCCUCACAAAUUCACAUUCCCAACUUCAGCCUUGAAACCACCUGGCCUCAUGGCCAUAUCACAUGCCAACACAAACAAAUAACAGUGAUAACAGCCAUUAGUUCAUAUAAAAGCCCUAAACCAAUGUAACCUUAACAUUAGCUAAAAGAACAAUAAAAGCUAAUUCAGUGUUUAGGAAUUUAGGUUCAAACAUUCUGCAUUCUUUUAAACAUAGAAGAACUUAAGCUAAGUGAAGUAUUCAACAUGCUAGUGGGGUAAUAGUUUAAGACAUUUGAUGAAUCAUGAUCAUAAGGCAUGAAUAAGAUGAAAAUAGUGAAGGACACUCAGCAAGUGAAAGUUUUGCAUUCAAACAUCAGAACAUAGAUUGCAUAAAUCAAAUAACUCUAGGUCAAACAUGUGAGUCUCGAAUGUAUACCUUUUAGCAAAAUAAACAAGUGAAGGCAGAUUUCUCUGAACAAAAUAAACUUCAGCAGCAAGAAACAAUAGCAACAACACCAAAAUGACCCAGAGAUUCAAAUCCGAAAACUAAUAACCAGCUUGAAAUCAAAAAGAUUUAGCUAAGAGGACUACGAGAGUUUCUACUUCAAACAAUGUUUCAAUCUUGGAAGGAAUAAGAGAUUUUUUGAAGUUUUCAAAGUUCUUUUGAGUAUGAAGUUUUCAG
rnacentral:lncRNA from 1 species